GACGAACGCUGGCGGCGUGCUUAACACAUGCAAGUCGAACGGAAAGGCCCUGCUUUUGUGGGGUGCUCGAGUGGCGAACGGGUGAGUAACACGUGAGUAACCUGCCCUUGACUCUGGGAUAACUUCAGGAAACUGGGGCUAAUACCGGAUAGGAGCUCCUGCUGCAUGGUGGGGGUUGGAAAGUUUCGGCGGUUGGGGAUGGACUCGCGGCUUAUCAGCUUGUUGGUGGGGUAGUGGCUUACCAAGGCUUUGACGGGUAGCCGGCCUGAGAGGGUGACCGGCCACAUUGGGACUGAGAUACGGCCCAGACUCCUACGGGAGGCAGCAGUGGGGAAUAUUGCACAGUGGGCGGAAGCCUGAUGCAGCAACGCCGCGUGCGGGAUGACGGCCUUCGGGUUGUAAACCGCUUUCGCCUGUGACGAAGCGUGAGUGACGGUAAUGGGUAAAGAAGCACCGGCUAACUACGUG
rnacentral:rRNA from 1 species